rnacentral:rRNA from 1 species
AUUGAACGCUGGCGGCAUGCUUUACACAUGCAAGUCGAACGGCAGCGCGGGCUUCGGCCUGGCUGCGAGUGGCGAACGGGUGAGUAAUGCAUCGGAACGUGCCCAGUAGUGGGGGAUAGCCCGGCGAAAGCCGGAUUAAUACCGCAUACGACCUGCUGGUGAAAGCGGGGGACCGAAAGGCCUCGCGCUAUUGGAGCGGCCGAUGUCGGAUUAGCUAGUUGGUGGGGUAAAGGCUUACCAAGGCGACGAUCCGUAGCUGGUCUGAGAGGACGACCAGCCACACUGGGACUGAGACACGGCCCAGACGCCUACGGGAGGCAGCAGUGGGGAAUGUUGGACAAUGGGGGCAACCCUGAUCCAGCCAUGCCGCGUGCGGGAAGAAGGCCUUCGGGUUGUAAACCGCUUUUGUUCGGGAAGAAAUCCUCUGGGCUAAUACCCCGGGGGGAUGACGGUACCGGAAGAAUAAGCACCGGCUAACUACGUG